ensembl:lncRNA
GAUAGGAACAUUACUGGAACUCUUCCAUUAGACUUUCCAAAACCAUAACUGCAGCCAGAAAGGCUCCUCCGUUUUCUUUCCAUUAGCCAAACAUCCUCUGCAUUUCUUCAGCAAGAGUUGCUCUCUGCUGCCAAACUCCUUCCUCACUGCUGAUACUUAGGCAUUUCUAACGAUUCCUACCAGGUAACGCCACUGACCACAGCAAAAGUUGCACAGCACAGCCAACAGGAAAGAGGAAGACAAACAAUGUGAAUCAACACAGAAUGCUGGCCAGAAUGCAGAAGAUACAUUGCCAUGAACUGCUCAUGCUAGAAAUAUUGAGUGAAAAAUGGGAAUUUGCCAGAAAGCAACAUUAAAAAUAAAGUCCGACCUCAUUCUGCCUGACCAGAGCACAGCACUAGGAGUUGUGCUGCCCAUUCUCAGUAAGUGACAAACAAAAUAAAGAUUGGUAUGAAUGAUGAAAAGAAGGAAAGCUCCACGAAAAGAUAUCAGGAGAAGACUCCAGGGACAUCUGAUCAAGCCAUCUCAGAACAGGACCACAGGAAUGGAGGUUACAAGGCAGACUUAUCCAUGAGCUAUUUGACCCAGCCACACCAACUGCAUUUUAAAGAGGGAUGAUGAGG